ACAAAAGGACAGUUAAAAAGAAAAGAUGGGUCUGGGACCACAUCAGUCUAGAGAGAACAGUGUGUUUAGCUGUCUUGGUGUCUCAUUUCUAGCAGCAUGCAUUCAGAGGAGUAAGGCAGGAUUAAGGGCAAAGUUUUUAAAAUGUACAUGGAUCUCUCAUUUAAAAUGCCUCAGUCUGAUGAUGUCAUGUCCCUGUAGCAAACUCCUUUAAAAACUGUUCUGUCCUGACCAGAACUUAUGUCGUGUUCAGAGUCAUGAAAAAGGUGGACAGCGGUGCUCGGAUUAAGUCUCGUGACGUUUCCUGUCGAGCUGGCUCCUUUCUGCCACUGUCAGAAUCAAAUUUGUACUUAAUCUCUCCCUUGUUUUCAGAUGACAAAAUCUCUCUGUUAGGUUUCAGAAAGCUGGGAUUACAAAAUGUUCUUAUGGCUUUAAGUCCUCUGUGGUGAUUGGGGAACUCGAGAAAGGAUUAGAUGAGAAAUUUUUUUCCAAGGGGUUGGGCGGGUUGGAGGGGACAGUCAGUGAACUGAAUAGGGGAUUCCUUUUCGGAUAUCUGCCUUUGGACCCAAAUGUUCGUCACUUAAGAGGAUUCCAAGAUUUUUAAAAUAAAAUGAAAAGGGAUGUGGAUUAUAAGAAUAUACAUGCAGAUGUCAACACUGAACUGUACAUUUGAAACUAGACCUCCUGCUGUGUAUAAAUUAUAACUCAAUACAAAGAAAAAUCAAGCAAGCAGGACAGACAGAGCAAAAAUAAUUAACACUGACAAGUAGAACCAACUACCAGACUGUCUUAGGGACAUGAAUUAUGAUUUUCAAAAUAGUGGGGACUGAAUUCCAUUGGAAGAGGCUCUGACGGUGAGGCCAGGGUUUUCACCAACUGAUUCCUAUGUAGGCCAUUAGCCAUCCAUGGUUUUGGGGGUGCAGUUUGUUUGUACCCCUCCUCCUAGCUAGCAAAUUCUUUAUUUACUUGUUCCCUUGUUUCAAGGGCAAAGGAGAUAAAAAGCAUAGAUGAGGGAAAUUCAUGGGGUCGCAAAGAGUCUGACACGACUGAGCAACUGAACUGAACUGAACAGAUGACUAGUCAGAGGUUACCAUUUUCUUUUAAGGACAGCCUAUCUGAUCUCCAAGUAUUAAAUAUAUCAUCACCAUCAUUCUUAUUCAGAGCAUUCCUCUUUGUCUUCCCCUAACCCAAAGCAGUUCUCAGCCUCUCUGAGAUCUUGACUGGAUACAGGAAGUGAUCUCACCCCCCACCCUCGCCCUGACAUGUGUUAUUCCUUUAAUUCGAUUGCCACACACCCCUGGCAACCCCUACACUGCGUAGACACAUACACUCCAUAUACAACACACCGGAAAUCACCAUUACAUCCACACAGUUUCCAUCAGCUGAAACGCAACCCAUGUUGAGACGACCUAAGGACAUUCCAACCAUGCUGGCCUCCUUUAUUAUUAUCUAUCUCCCCCACUCGACUGUGUGUUCCAUGAAAGCAGAGACAGGCUUUUAUUCACUACUGGAGAUCCAGCAUCUAGCAAGGUGACCGACACAUAAUAGCACAGUAGGUGUUCACCUGACGUUGAGUGAACGAGUCACAAAUUGAAAGCAGCAAAACAUUUGUUGUUUUUAGAGAAAUUAGUUCCCUCUGUUUGGACUCAGUGGUGGGGAAAUGGAACUGAAGAAGAUUCCACGUGGUUUGCUUUGUUUUCCCCCAUCAGACAGAUCGUGUCUACCCUCUGUAUGUGCAGCCCGGAUCCUGAGUGACCAGCCAGCGUAAAGGUACAUGUGACCUUUUAAGGACCAGGCAUGUUUUUGCCACAGGCAGGAGGGUUCUAUGUUUUAAUUGCCUGGAGGUUCCAUCCAAAAUUCGAGCCAGCCAACAGUGCGGUCUGUGAGCAGGGCGGUUACAUCUGCGGCACUUGGAGUUGAGCCUGGCUCGGCACCCGAGCAGACCUCCUGGUUCUGCACGGUUGAAAACAAAGUAGCAAUGGCCACUCACAGUGCUGCAUGGAAAGGUAGAGCUCGCUUAUGCGAUCACCUAAAAUAACAGCCUCUCAACAGACUUAAAAAUUAGCAGAAGGAUGUGAGGCACUUGGAAGCACAAAGGUAGAACUGUUUAUCAAUUGAUAUGGAAGUAUUUCAAUAUUUUCACAACUGGAGCAUAUCAGCUCAUUUCCGGUCCUAAGUAUUAAUAUCAGUAGAACUGCACCCACCACAGGUUGCUUGAGAAGCCUUUGUUCCCUUUUAGAUGAGUUACAUAGGCAGCAUCUUUGCCUGGACAUCUAAACACUGUGGUUUCGAUGACAGGGCCUUGCUGGGAAGCUCCUUCCCUUAUGGAGUGCUGAGAUAAUUUUCCUUAAGCAAAGAUGACAUCACUGACCUGAAGGCGGAUCCAGGCAACUGCCCUAUCUGGGGAACAAUCAUUCCUGCAGUAUUUCCAAUUAAUCUUGGAAUGAGAGCCCCAGGCAAGAAGCCAGCGGUGCCUGAGGAAUGCUAAAGAGCAGACUGAGCCAGGGAAACAAAUGCCAGCGAGGGACCCCACAGCAAAGAGACAGACACCGUGAGCAACUCUCCCGUUACCAUGAGGCUCGCGAGGCGUGUGUGCGGGUCUCCGCGUUGGCACCAUCUGCCAAUUCCUCAGGAGGACAGAACAAACCAGCGAGGCAUGAAGAUUAGAUUAUGUAAUGCUUGAGGAUUGCUGUUUUCAAAGAGGAAACAAAUGGAACGAAUUGAUUUGCUUGUCAGAGUCAUGUCAGUAAAGGAGACCCAUUCCCUCCUCUUCUAAGAGGACUUCAUUAAAGAGGGGGAUGAUUUCACAGAAUCAGAAAAUGUGAGACCACGAUGGACUCCAUUCACAAGAGCAAGUCCAAUUUCCGGAACUGCACUGACAAACCCGCUUCUGGUCCUCUGGCCUGAAAAAUGACUAUUCAGCCACUGCCUAAAAGGUGUAUACCCAGGCACUCCGAGAUCUGAGAUGAGGGGAGAACACGACAGUGUCCAGUGUCCCAGGGGGAGAAUAACGUGCCUCCCGCUUGGCGCCUUGGACUCGUCUGGCUUCCGGCCCCAUGGCUUGGGGAUGCUGUGCCUGCGCGAGAGGAUGAUUUAUCGUGUUAUCUCUCCACCCUCGGCUAGUUGUUGCAGCUGCACAUUUCAGCCUGGUCAGACUGAAAACAGGAGUUAGUGUUGGAAUGGGAGAGAGAUUCAGAAGGUCACUGAGGUGGGCUUGGGCUGUAGUGAGCAUCACCCAGUGACAGGCAUUGGACUAAAUGACCCCAAGGACUUUGUGCAGUAGGGACCAAUGUGUCCAUUUUACAGAUAGAGAAAAUGAGGCUCCUGUGGCUUGGGGGACUUGUCCACAGCCACCGGUAAUGACAGUCCUGGGAUUUGAACCCAAGUUUCUCUAGAUCCCCAACACCCAAGCUCUCUUAGGCCCUUGUUCCUCCUUCAAAAGUAAAGCUUGUUUUCCUGAAGUGUGGUCAUCACUGAA